rnacentral:rRNA from 1 species
GACGAACGCUGGCGGCGUGCUUAACACAUGCAAGUCGAACGGAAAGGCCCUGCUUUUGUGGGGUGCUCGAGUGGCGAACGGGUGAGUAACACGUGAGUAACCUGCCCUUGACUUUGGGAUAACUUCAGGAAACUGGGGCUAAUACCGGAUAGGAGCUCCUGCUGCAUGGUGGGGGUUGGAAAGUUUCGGCGGUUGGGGAUGGACUCGCGGCUUAUCAGCUUGUUGGUGGGGUAGUGGCUUACCAAGGCUUUGACGGGUAGCCGGACUGAGAGGGUGACCGGCCACAUUGGGACUGAGGUACGGCCCAGACUCCUACGGGAGGCAGCAGUGGGGAAUAUUGCACAAUGGGCGGAAGCCUGAUGCAGCAACGCCGCGUGCGGGAUGACGGCCUUCGGGUUGUAAACCGCUUUCGCCUGUGACGAAGCGUGAGUGACGGUAAUGGGUAAAGAAGCACCGGCUAACUACGUG